UUUGAUCCUAAGCUCAGAUUGAACGCUGGCGGGAUGCUUUACACAUGCAAGUCGAACGGCAGCACGGACUUCGGUCUGGUGGCGAGUGGCGAACGGGUGAGUAAUGUAUCGGAGACGUGCCUAGUAGCGGGGGAUAACUACGCGAAAGCGUAGCUAAUACCGCAUACGCCCUUCGGGGGAAAGCGGGGGACCUUCGGGCCUCGCACUAUUAGAGCGGCCGAUAUCCGGAUUAGCUGAUUGGUGGGGUAACAGCUCAUGACGACGAUCCG
rnacentral:misc_RNA from 1 species